GAUGAACGCUGGCGGCGUGCCUAAUACAUGCAAGUCGAGCGAACAGACGAGGAGCUUGCUCCUCUGACGUUAGCGGCGGACGGGUGAGUAACACGUGGAUAACCUACCUAUAAGACUGGGAUAACUUCGGGAAACCGGAGCUAAUACCGGAUAAUAUAUUGAACCGCAUGGUUCAAUAGUGAAAGACGGUUUUGCUGUCACUUAUAGAUGGAUCCGCGCCGCAUUAGCUAGUUGGUAAGGUAACGGCUUACCAAGGCGACGAUGCGUAGCCGACCUGAGAGGGUGAUCAGCCACACUGGAACUGAGACACGGUCCAGACUCCUACGGGAGGCAGCAGUAGGGAAUCUUCCGCAAUGGGCGAAAGCCUGACGGAGCAACGCCGCGUGAGUGAUGAAGGUCUUCGGAUCGUAAAGCUCUGUUAGCAGGGAAGAACAAGUGUGUAAGAAACUAUGCACGUCUUGACGGUACCUAAUCAGAAAGCCACGGCUAACUACGUG
rnacentral:rRNA from 1 species